GAGUUCCGCGCGAUUGGAUUGGGGCAGGCACUGUGAUCCACUCAUCAGAGGUCUUAGGGUCCCGUGGGGAGACCCGUGUGGGCCCUUGCGGGUGUUGGGCAAGACUCUGCUGGCAAGGUAGCCCGGGGCUCGAGUCUCGAGUCGAGCGGAAGGGCGAGGAAUAAUUUUCAUGUGUCUUUCAGAGUAAUAAGACUACUGAUACUGCUCAGUAUUGUACAUAUGGACAUGUGGACAUGGAUGCAAGAACAAUCCCUGGAACAUGAGCAGCAGGUCAGUGAGUACUUCCUGGAAGAACACUGAUUCAUCUGACUUCAGAGGCCUUCAGUUCUCAAGGAUCAUCAGAUCCAUCUGCCUAAAGUGAAACCUCCAUCCCUUCGGUGCUGAGAAGAUUGCCUACAUAUGUCAGUCAUCAAAGCUUUGCCCCAUCCUUCUUCUCCAGAACCCGCUUCCACCCAGCAGGCAGCUACAGGUGGCACCCAACGUGGGUCCUGAACAUGGAAGGAACAAUUGGGGGAAAACACUUUCUUGGUGGAGCUCCAAAGAUGGUAUCUGGCACGAUGCUCCCACUAUGACAUUCUCCCUCAACGCACACUCAGGGAAACAGGACCAAGGAGCCAUGGAUUCAAGUUUCCAAAAGCAGAAAAUCAUUUUCGAGGGUACAUUGUGGUCUGGAGUGAUACAAUCAUAAAAACCAAAGUUCAAUCUCCAUAACUCACAUGAAAUUCAAGGUGCUGGUGUUACCAUUUCUUCUAGACUCCACCCCACAGUUACCUGACAACAGCCAGGUCACUGUUAGCCUGAGCUCAAACAGUAGGUGAAAGAAACCAAAUAAGGAUCGCACAGAGGUACUGAGAGUAAAUAAGAUGAUUUAAGAACUACGAAGAAGCAAGCAAUGACCUAACUGAACUGCGCUUCCAUUGAUAAACAAUUUCUUCACGAGGAUAUCCAUCUACCAUGAGAUGGGAAAACUCAGCCAGAGGUAGCAACCACCUUCUUUGAAUAACUUGUAAAUACCAAGGGAGAACAAAACUGAAAGUCAUAUGAGCACACUGGACUGGCCUUGUGGAAUUUGCCUCCCAGGAAAUUAACAAAAUAUAUAUCAAAUCCUGCUGGAAAAGACUGAAAGUAAGAAAGUCAAAACUGCCUUUUAAAAAUCUCGCUUUUAGUUGCAUGUAAUGUAAACAAUGAAGGAUAUUCUAAAUGUUGUAUUUGUACUUUAUAUCACUUUUGUAAGAUACAAAAGUAUCUAGUACAAAGUGAAAAUUAGAUAUGUAAAAUUAGAUAUUAGAUAUUGUAAUGAAGUAAAUUACAUAUGAUCAAUUCUGUCUUUUAAAAUUAACUACGGUCAUGACUAUUUUGAUUUUAGGAGUCUCUCUGACUCUAUUGAAGAGAAAUUAUGUUGAUGAAAAUGCUUGUUUAAAAUCCAUCAUUAACAUUUCAUUCAUUCAAAAAUAUCUAACUGCUAAACCGGAAAUAAGGCAGAGAUGGAUAAUCUAAUAUCGAUAUUGAACAAAUAGGAAUUCAUGUAGAAAAGUGAGGCCUGUUUGCUUUAGAAUAUCUGUGGAAGUUUUAAUAUUUAAUUGGUGGUAGAGUUGUCAAAAUCCCUUUGAUAUGUUGAAAAUAUCUUCUCUGAUGAAAAUAAUAAGUCAGGCUUUUACAGUGUUGACAUAUCAUACAUUUUUACAAAUAUUAUACCAACAAAACAGAGUUAAUGUGAAAUAUACUUUGUUUAAGAAUGUGUUAUAUAACAUUCUUCUGAGUCCCAUGAUGAAGGAUAUUGGAGGUAUAGUAUCAACCAUGUAUACGUUCUAUUGAGUCCUGGCCUGGCCUUACAGUCCACCUCAAUAGUCAGUCUGGACACAUUGUCUAUUUUUUAAGAGUUGCCCAUUCUAUCAAUUCUUCUUGUAAAGAUUGUUUUAAUUGGGACAGUUUGAAGUACAAUAAAAAAUGAUGUCAAAAUCAAUAGCAAAGCUCAGUGCCACUAUGCAAUUUCUCAGAUUCACUGCAUUAAUUGACAAGGCAAUUAGAGUGACUACAGGUGGCAGGGCACAAUCUGGGGAGAAUAUUACUUACAACUGGA